CCUCUCAUGGCGUAGUGGUUAACGCGCGCCAACUAGACAUCGGGGAGUCGUGAGUUCGAUUCUCACUGAGAAGA
rnacentral:tRNA from 1 species